GCCGCGGUCGCAUAGCCUGGCCAUUGCGGAGGAUUGCUAAUCCUCUGUCCUUCGGGACACGUGGGUUCAAAUCCCACCCGCGGCG
rnacentral:tRNA from 1 species